UAUUGAAAUAGAAUUUGGCCAUGUUGAUCUUAAAUUUCCCUGUGGACAGUACAGAAAUCUCACUAAGGCUGUGACACCCCCUCUUGAUGAAAUGUGUACAUCCUAGAAAGUGCCUUGGGGUCCCACCGUUAUCUUCUAUUCAUCGCCCUACUCGUGCUUAUCAGAUUUGCCCAGCUCCUGUAGGAAUGACAGAAACUCAUCAAGUACAUAGCAACCCUAACAGAACAAAGAACAGGUAAGUGCUCAAAAAUAAUACUAACUUACUGUUUUCAAAAUUCCAGGGAACGAAAGUUUUUUCCUGGCUGAUAAUUCAAUUCAUCUCAGGGAUAGCCAGAGUUGAACCUUGAAAAAUAAAUGGAAUUUCUACUAGUAAGAAGAGCAGAUGGAUAUUCCAUGAAAAGUCUGGAGUAUAAGGCAGUUCCAGAAGUGGAAAAGCACAAAAUUUGUAUGGACUCUGCAGAGCACCGUUUGAAAACCAGUGAUCUAAUUCCAUCCUCUGGUGAGAAAAUGAGAUCCGGCCGGGACCAGUGGCUCACGCCUGUAAUCCUAGCACCUUGGGAUACCGAGGCAGGUGGAUCACCUGAGGCCAGGAGUUCGAGUCCAGCCUGCCCAACAUGGCGAAACUCCGUCUCCGCUAAAAUAAAAAAUACAAAAAUUAGCCGAGUGUGGUGGCUGACGCAUGUAGUCCCGGUUACUCGGGAGGCUGAGGCAAGAGAAUCACUUGAACCCAGGAGGCAGAGGUUGCAGUGAGCCGAGAUCACGCCACUGCAUUCCAGCCUGGGUGAGAUUCUGUCUCAAAAAAAAAAAAAAAGAAAGAAAAAGAAAAAGAAAUGAGAUCCAGAGAAACGAAGUUACUUGUUCAAGGUCAUUAGGAUUGAAAAUGAAGAGUCCUUACUUCCUUUGUAGUAAUAUGUAUAACACUUAAUUAUCCCAGAUAUAUUUUCUGGCAAGGUUCAUGGAAAAUAUGGUAAAAUAUUAUUUCAGUACCAUACUUCAAUACAAAAAAUUAAUAAAG
rnacentral:lncRNA from 10 species